rnacentral:rRNA from 1 species
UACGGAGGGGGCUAGCGUUGUUCGGAAUUACUGGGCGUAAAGGGCGCGUAGGCGGCCUGCUAAGUCGAACGUGAAAUCCCUGGGCUCAACCCAGGAACUGCGUCCGAUACUGGUUGGCUUGAAUCCGGGAGAGGGAUGUGGAAUUCCAGGUGUAGCGGUGAAAUGCGUAGAUAUCUGGAGGAACACCGGUGGCGAAGGCGACAUCCUGGACCGGUAUUGACGCUGAGGCGCGAAAGCCAGGGGAGCAAACGGG